rnacentral:rRNA from 1 species
UACAGAGGGGGCAAGCGUUGUUCGGAAUUACUGGGCGUAAAGGGCGCGUAGGCGGCCUGCUAAGUCGAACGUGAAAUCCCCGGGCUCAACCCGGGAACUGCGUCCGAUACUGGCAGGCUUGAAUCCGGGAGAGGGAUGUGGAAUUCCAGGUGUAGCGGUGAAAUGCGUAGAUAUCUGGAGGAACACCGGUGGCGAAGGCGGCAUCCUGGACCGGCAUUGACGCUGAGACGCGAAAGCGUGGGGAGCAAACAGG